rnacentral:rRNA from 1 species
UACGUAGGUGGCGAGCGUUGUCCGGAUUUACUGGGCGUAAAGGGAGCGUAGGCGGACUUUUAAGUGAGAUGUGAAAUACUCGGGCUCAACUUGAGUGCUGCAUUUCAAACUGGAAGUCUAGAGUGCAGGAGAGGAGAAUGGAAUUCCUAGUGUAGCGGUGAAAUGCGUAGAGAUUAGGAAGAACACCAGUGGCGAAGGCGAUUUUCUGGACUGUAACUGACGCUGAGGCUCGAAAGCGUGGGGAGCAAACAGG